AGCAGGCAAGCGCGAGGCACACACCAGGUCGUCUGAUAAGGACGGCAGCCCUUUGGGGUGGGAUCCUGGGUCCUCGGGGCCUGCUAUUCU
rnacentral:sRNA from 12 species